rnacentral:lncRNA from 1 species
UCCAGAUUUCUUUCCUAGGGUUUCUAUCUCCAGUGUUGCCUCACUUUGAGUUUUCUUUAUUGUGUCUACUUCCCUUUUUAGGUCUAGUAUGGUUUUGUUCAUUUCCAUCACCUGUUUGUAUGUUUUUUCCUCUUUUUCUGUAAGGACUUCUACUUGUUUGAUUGUGUUUUCCUGUUUUUCUUUAAGGAAUUGUAACUCUUUAGCAGUGUUCUCCUGUAUUUCUUUAAGUGAUUUAUUAAAGUCCUUCUUGAUGUCCUCUACCAUCAUUAUGAGAUAUGCUUUUAAAUCUAGGUCUAGGUUUUCGUGUCUGUUGGGUUGCCCUGGACUGGGCGAAGUGGGUGUGCUGGGUUCUGGUGAUGGUGAGUGGUCUUGGUUCCUGUUAGUAAGAUUCCUCCGUUUACCUUUCGCCAUCUGGUAAUCUCUGGAGUUAGUAGUUAUAGUUGACUCUGUUUAGAGAUUGUUCUUCUGGUGAUUCUGUUACAGUCUAUCAGCAGACCUGAGAGACAGAUUCUCUCCUCUGAGUUUCAGUGCUCAGAGCACUCUCUGCUGGCAAGCUCUCUUACAGGGAAGGUGCGCAGAUAUCUUGUGUUUGGACCUCCUCCUGGCCGAAGAAAAAGGCCCAAAACAGGACCUUUCUCAGAAGCUGUGUUGCUUUGGCAGUUCCCAGAAGCUGUCAGCUUCUGUGGUGCAGACUCUCACCUGUGCAGACUAAAUUCCUAAGUUCCGCGGAGUUCCGGAACCAAGAUGGAGACCGCUGGUCCUGAGGCUGAGGCCGCCUCCAGAGCCAGGAAGACACCUGUCCUCUGGUCUGGAUGGUGGCUAGCUGUCUGCCGAAAUUGCGUAUCUCAAGGCUCUGCCCCACAUCCGCCAACAGAUGUUGGAGCCAAAGAAUCCAGAUAAUAAAAGGGGGUAGGAAGUCACAGCAGGCAAAAUACUAGAAGUUACCAGAGGUAGUGGUCAGGAAAAGUUAAUAGGGCAAAGGUGAAUGUGGAACUGUUUCCAAAUAGUUCUUUGCAGCGACUCCAAUCUUUGUUGUCACGAAUCAGCAACAGCAGUUCAAUCCAGAAGAAAAAGCGAGGCUCUGCCAAUGAGCUUCAGUCAGAGGUCUUAGGAUCCCGUGGGGAAUCCUGUGUGGGCCCUUGCAGGUGUUGGGCGAGACUCAGCUGGCAAGGUACCUCGGGGCUCGAGUGGAGCGGAAGGGGCUUGUCAACUUUUAAAUUCUUGAAUUAAAAUUAAACUUAAAGCCAGGCAAUGGUGGCACACACCUUUAAUCCCAGCACUUGGGAUGCAGAAGCAGACUGAUUUCUGAGUUUGAGGCCAGCCUGGUUUACAGAGUGAGUUUCAGGACAGCCAGGGCUAUAUAGAGAAACCCUGUCUCGAAAAACAAAAACAAACAAACAAA